AGCGAGUUCUAGGGAAAUGUAGCGUCCCCUGGGAAUAGGGUGGCUGUUGGGACGCUAUGCGGAAUGGCGGUGUUACUCCCUUUCCUUGUGGGCCCUACUUAUUUAAAUUGAGCCCCAUACGAAGAGGACGUGGCAUGGACAGAUGGGCCCAGGCUCCCGCCCUUCCGUGACUCAGGGAAACGGCCUCCUUGCAGAGCACUCUCUUGGCACCCGGCUGCAGCACUCCUCCCCCGCCUACUUUGAAAGCCUAACCUACUUAGGAUGAGAGAAGAGUCUUUGGCAGUUGAGAGGAGACAGAGACUGUUUUGCAUUGCAAAGAAAAGCUUUGCCAGGAUGUCCUAAGAUACCUGUAACAGACCAAAGCUGAACUACUAUCAUAAGGAAGGAAAGGAGUGCGCACACAAAGGAACAGCACAGAGGAGCGUCUUCAAGUCACGGGAAGCAGGCCAACCACUUCAUCUGACAGUGCUCUCUCUCUUAA